AUUCCUGUAAUGGCUGCUUUCAGUCAGGUAAGGCACAAACUCCGCUCCCCGGGAUUCCAGGACUGAUUCUCCGAGUGCAGUUGCAGAACGCAACAAAUUUGCACCCUCCCAGAGCGAAGGAACUCCCGAUCUUUAUGUCAGAUCUCGGGAUGAAUUUGCUUCUCGGCUUGGUUUCGUUUAGCUAUCUGUGUGUGAUAACUAACUUUAAAUCUAGUAGUCUCUUUUUGAACGAACUGUUAGGGAGUAUUUUCUGUACUCGUUACCAAUUUCCGUCCUUGCAUUUCUUUCCUUAUUGACUCUAGCUUCCUCUUUAAAAUAGGCUGUGUCACGAGUAACCUCUUAGCCUCAGCAUCCGGAAGUUCCAAAGAGAAUAUUUCACGUUGGAUAGAAUUUUACAUAUACCAUUGUUUUUGGUAAGUCUUAUUAAUUCCUUUCAACUUCACAGAGUCACGUGUUGUGUUGUUUGACUUUUGCCAGAUUUAGCUGCAUUUUCUAGAUAGGAGGCAUGCUAAGAAAAUGUGACUUUUACUUGUUAGGGUAUUUUAAGUUUGCAAGUAUCUUGUGAAUUUUUCCCUCUCUUUUCUAAUGCUGUACAGCUGUCCAGUUUCAGUUUGGUCAAUGCAUAUACUGUUGGAAUUCCUAUCGGAAUUGCCGGUUUGAGGGUGUUGUCAUGAGAUUAACCUAAAAUGACUGUCUUUAGUUUUGUCAUCUUGAACUGACAUCUGAAAUGAUUCACAAACUCCAGUCUAAAAGACUGUUGUCUAUUUAUAUUGUCAUUCAAAAAAGUCAGGCUUUUUUUUAACAGUUUCUUUUGUUCCGUGUUUAAUUUCUAGGCAGGUUCAGCCCUCCAGAUCCUAACAUCAUGAAUUCAGUUCCAACACAACUGAUCUUAGUCCUUACUUCGCUGCUUUUGAUCCUGCCUGGCGUUGAAGCAGUCGAAGCUGGAGAUGCGAUUGCACUCUUAUUAGGUGUGGUUCUCAGUGUUACAGGCAUCUGUGCUUGCUUGGGGAUAUAUGCAAGAAAGCGAAAUGGACAGAUAUGACUUUGAAGGACUCUUCUGAAUUAGACUUCACCCUGACCAUUGUGCUGAAAACCCUUGUGCUGUUGAGGCCGAACCCAAGAUUUGCUCUCACCUGUCCUCAGAAAGAGGAUUACAGUUAGCUGAGGGUUAACACCCUCAGUUAAGAGAAUGCUUUCCUGUUCAUACUUGUUUCUCCUAUGAUGGGAGCAGAUGGGGUGGGGGGAGAGGCUCUUAACAACAAAGAGUGCAGUAAUAAUGUGGCCCAUAAUUUGUAUUUGCUGCUUGGGAGGUGGCCAAAGCGAGAGGGCUUAAGUUUGCAAAAGUAUUAUCUCAUACUUUGAAAGUGUUUGUUCAGAAUCUAGUAAAUCUACAUCGUUAUUAUAAUCACUGCCUCUUGCAUUCUGGGGGUUCUCUCUUUCAUUUGGGGGGUUGGAUUGGGUUUUGGAUUUGUUUUUUUGUUGUUACUGUUUUCUUUUUAAUGCUUCUGUUUUUAACAUAGUUGUACUUAGAUCUUAAUAGCCAAAAAUUGAAACUUUUAACUCUGAGGAAAAGUUUAAUAAAAAUGUAUUAAAUGUAUCUAAUACUAAAAUGGUGAAAAUAUUUGUUAAAAAAAUAACUAUACAUU
rnacentral:lncRNA from 1 species